AUGAGGUUUUCAUCUGUGUUUGCAUCAGGGCAUCGCUGCGUCAUGCUGCAACGGCCCCGGGCAAACGGAGGACAGCUCAUCCCGGAGCGUGGGGGCGUGGAGGUGACAGCCCGCGAGGGAGGCGUCGUGUCCAUGUCCACGACAGCAGGAUCUGAAAUAGGCUUGGAGGUCAAAGUGGAUGACUUUGCUGCGAUGGUAGAAGAAGUCGGCUUAGAGGUGCCGGGCUGGACGACGACGGAGCUGUCCGUGGAGCCGCCUGGACGCGGGGUUGUUAGGAAAAGCGGGGGAGAAUCCACACACCCAGGGGUUGGGGAUUCUUUUGUGCAGGGGGUGGGGGUAAGGUGUGGGGCGGUCGGGGGUGGGUGCUGCAGCGCGGCCUGGGGGAAGAGGGCCUCCCUGAAGUGGGGUUUCCCAAAGGGACAGGAACUAGGGGGAGGAAGAGAAUCAGCAGGAGCAGCAAGAGGAGGAGAUUCAGGAACGACACGUCCUGUUUCCCGACCACCAUGUUGUGUUGGGGAAGACGGAGGGACAGAGAGGGUCGGGGGCCCGGCAGAGGGGUCAGCCAAGGCGGUGCGAGGAACGGGGACCUGGGCAGCGGGAGCGGCCGCGGCGGGGAGCCUGCAGCCUCCGAGGCAAGUGGGGGCGAGGAAGGGGCAGGCGGGGCGGCCCAGCAGUCGGCCGAGGUGUCUGUUCUGUCCUUCGGGAUCUUGUCCCUCGGACGCUCGGCGUCCUGCGAGGUGCCCGGGUUCUUGUCAGGAGCAAGGCGAGGAAGCUUCGGGGUGGGGGCCAGUCCCCCCGAUCCCACAGCAGUGGUAGAGGCGGCGGCACUGGCAGGCGGGGGGCAGGCCUAGUUUCCUUCUGUGUGGCCCGCUGCUGGCCGACGCCGGCGGGAGAGGGCUCCGUGGCGAGACGCCCGGGGCCCCCAGCCUGUGUGUCCCUCCUCCCCGCGGCCCGCACGCUCCCGGGCGGAUGGUUUUCAGCCGCCGCCCCCUCUGCGGAGGGCCCCUGCGGCCCGGGGCAGCCUGGGCGUGGGCGCGAGGGCACCGCGCGUCCCUGUCGGGGUCCCGAGGACCUCUCCCACGGGACCGCCUGAAGAGGUGGCCACGCGGCCUGCAGAGGACGACAUGGGAGACAUCUGGGUGCUGGCCCACGAGCCCUCUCCGGAGGGGGCGAGACGUCGGUCCAGGGCUGCAGGGCUGGCUUGGUGGAGGCUGAGAGCGCCGCUGGUGUCCGGGGCUCGGAUGUCCACUGCGUGCCCCGCGGCUGUGGGGGCGGCCACUGCCACCACCCGGCCCUUUGGUCUCUCCGAGAGCCUGCGUCUGUCCUCCGGGGUGCUCCGGGACCUCCUCCUCCGUGCCCUGGGCUCGAAAGGGGGAGGGGACGGGUCGGUACCUGACCCGCGGCCCCGGCUCCCUGUGCAGGUAGUGAAUGCAGGAGCGUGACCUCGCGCCCCGGGGGAGGGAUCCUCACAGUCCUCGAGGGCCGGACCAGCGGGCAACUGCGCAGACAGCUCACGCCCCCCGGAGGGCUCCCCCAGCUCCCCGCGGGGAGGAGGCCCAGAGGGGGGCCCGCGGCCUGAGGGAGCGGGAGCCGCCUCCUGGGCUCCCCGUGGCAGCGAGCCGGUACAGGCUCCCCCUCCGCCCCCGCUGGGAUGGCCUGCGCCCAGAGCAGGGGGCGGGUGCAGGAGCCGCAGGGUGGUCCGGCCAGGACGGGCGGUGUCACGGGCGGGCGUGGCCAGCGGGCAACUCCGGCGGGGCAGGGGCCGGCGGGGGGGGCGAAGAAACUUAGAAAAUAAACGGCCCAUUUAGGGCUAGCUGGGCGCCA
rnacentral:lncRNA from 12 species